rnacentral:rRNA from 1 species
AUACGGAGGAUGCGAGCGUUAUCCGGAUUUAUUGGGUUUAAAGGGUGCGUAGGCUGUGCGUUAAGUCAGGGGUGAAAUGCCGUCGCUCAACGACGGAGCUGCCCUUGAUACCGGCGUGCUGGAGUACGGAUGCCGUUGGAGGAAUGAGUGGUGUAGCGGUGAAAUGCUUAGAUAUCACUCAGAACACCGAUUGCGAAGGCAUCUGACGAAUCCGUCACUGACGCCGAGGCACGAAAGCGUGGGGAUAGAACAGGAUUAGAUACCCUGGUAUUCCACGCCGUAAACGAUGAUGACUAACCGUCGGCGAUAGACAGCCGGUGGCCAAGCGAAAGCGAUAAGUCAUCCACCUGGGGAGUACGUCGGCAACGAUGAAACUCAAAGGAAUUGACGAGG